UACGAAGGGGGCUAGCGUUGCUCGGAAUUACUGGGCGUAAAGGGCGCGUAGGCGGCACUGUUAGUCAGGCGUGAAAGCCCUGGGCUCAACCUGGGAACUGCGCUUGAUACGGCAGAGCUAGAGGAUGGAAGAGGGUCGCGGAAUUCCCAGUGUAGAGGUGAAAUUCGUAGAUAUUGGGAAGAACACCGGUGGCGAAGGCGGCGACCUGGUCCAUUACUGACGCUGAGGCGCGACAGCGUGGGGAGCAAACAGG
rnacentral:rRNA from 1 species